CCCGACUAGCCGGCUCUGGCCCCCGCCCCCACCCUGACGCUGAUCGAUGGAGAGCCCAUCGAAGGAGGGGGGAGGGGAACUGGCGAUGGAGAUCGAGUCCUCUGUCACAGCGGAGGACUGGCGGCACGUGUUCUCCCGGGUGGUGCCCUCCGUCGUCGUCCUCCGCACCAUCGCGUCGUAGGCAUUUGACACCGAUCGAGGUCGCCGCCGCGCCCAGGGGCCAGGCGUCGCCGUCCCCGGCCACCCGCCGCCCUCGCCGCUUCCCGCGCCGCCGCGCCCAGGCUAAGAAGCAUGGGUCGGCCGCGGCACAGCUCGUCGUCCCCGGCCACUCCGCCGCCCUCGCCGCGCCCAGUCGUCGCCAUCCCCGGCCACUCUCGCGAAGGUUUGGAAACUUGGGAACAACAUGCCCAGCAAUAGGGUAUGAAGUUUGUACUUAGAUGAGACAUUGAUAGGUGAGACAUGUUUGGCCCUGAGGAAAUCGGUUGAGUAUUCUCAAAAGAUUGCUUUGUCGAGCAAACUGUUUUAAGACCAUUUUAUUGAGCACACAAGCAAUAUUGGUUGGAGGGAGUAAGAACACUCUUAUACUGUGUGAGCCAGCCGACAUCCGAGCGCGUGCUACCUCACAAGAAGAGGGGCCGGCCGUUGGGCUCCGGCAACAAACAGCAGCAGCUGCCGCAACAGAAGAAGAAGGCAGCAGCUCCAGGUUGAUCUGGUUUCUACUGUCCAGAUUGCUGACAAAGAGUAUGCGCUCUAGGCUCUUUCAUCUACUGACAGUCAUAGUUGUUGGCAUUUAAAAACUUUUGUCUAUGGCAACCAUCAUUUGCUUAUUGGAAGAUCCACUGUAUUCAUUUUCCACUUUCACAGUGUUGCAGUAUCUGUAUAGUUGACUACUAGGCUAAGUACAUUAGCUGAAAUAUACAGUUUUGU